rnacentral:rRNA from 1 species
CCUACGGGUGGCAGCAGUCGAGAAUCAUUCACAAUGGGGGAAACCCUGAUGGUGCGACGCCGCGUGGGGGAAUGAAGGUCUUCGGAUUGUAAACCCCUGUCAUGUGGGAGCAAAUUAAAAAGAUAGUACCACAAGAGGAAGAGACGGCUAACUCUGUGCCAGCAGCCGCGGUAAUACAGAGGUCUCAAGCGUUGUUCGGAAUCACUGGGCGGAAAGCGUGCGUAGGCUGUUUCGUAAGUCGUGUGUGAAAGGCGCGGGCUCAACCCGCGGACGGCACAUGAUACUGCGAGACUAGAGUAAUGGAGGGGGAACCGGAAUUCUCGGUGUGGCAGUGAAAUGCGUAGAUAUCGAGAGGAACACUCGUGGCGAAGGCGGGUUCCUGGACAUUAACUGACGCUGAGGCACGAAGGCCAGGGGAGCGAAAGGGAUUAGAUACCCGAGUAGUC